rnacentral:piRNA from 1 species
UUGGACAAAAUAAGGCCCAAAUGGUGCAUA